rnacentral:rRNA from 1 species
AGGAUGAACGCUAGCGGCAGGCUUAAUACAUGCAAAUCGUGGGGCAGCGCAGGUAGCAUACGUGGGCGGCGACCGGCAAACGGGUGCGGAACACGUACACAACCUUCCGAGAAGUGGGGAAUAGCCCAGAGAAAUUUGGAUUAAUACCCCGUAACAUAACGAUGUGGCAUCACAUUGUUAUUAUAGCUUCGGCGCUUCUUGAUGGGUGUGCGGCUGAUUAGAUAGUUGGCGGGGUAACGGCCCACCAAGUCUACGAUCAGUAGCUGAUGUGAGAGCAUGAUCAGCCACACGGGCACUGAGACACGGGCCCGACUCCUACGGGAGGCAGCAGUAAGGAAUAUUGGUCAAUGGACGCAAGUCUGAACCAGCCAUGCCGCGUGAAGGAUUAAGGUCCUCUGGAUUGUAAACUUCUUUUAUCUGGGACGAAAAAAGGCGAUUCUUCGUCACUUGACGGUACCAGAUGAAUAAGCACCGGCUAACUCCGUG